GAGUAACACGUGGGCAACUGCCUGUAAGACUGGGAUAACUCCGGGAAAGGGGGCUAAUACCGGAUAACUCUUUUCCUCACAUGAGGAAAAGCUGAAAGAUGGUUUCGGCUAUCACUUACAGAUGGGCCCGCGGCGCAUUAGCUAGUUGGUGAGGUAACGGCUCACCAAGGCCACGAUGCGUAGCCGACCUGAGAGGGUGAUCGGCACACUGGGACUGAGACACGGCCCAGACUCCUACGGGAGGCAGCAGUAGGGAAUCUUCCGCAAUGGACGAAAGUCUGACGGAGCAACGCCGCGUGAGUGAUGAAGGUUUUCGGAUCGUAAAACUCUGUUGUCAGGGAAGAACAAGUACCGGAGUAACUGCCGGUACCUUGACGGUACCUGACCAGAAAGCCACGGCUAACUACGUGCCAGCAGCCGCGGUAAUACGUAGGUGGCAAGCGUUGUCCGGAAUUAUUGGGCGUAAAGCGCGCGCAGGCGGUUCCUUAAGUCUGAUGUGAAAGCCCCCGGCUCAACCGGGGAGGGUCAUUGGAAACUGGGGAACUUGAGUGCAGAAGAGAAGAGUGGAAUUCCACGUGUAGCGGUGAAAUGCGUAGAGAUGUGGAGGAACACCAGUGGCGAAGGCGACUCUUUGGUCUGUAACUGACGCUGAGGCGCGAAAGCGUGGGGAGCAAACAGGAUUAGAUACCUGGUAGUCCACGCCGUAAACGAU
rnacentral:rRNA from 1 species